rnacentral:rRNA from 1 species
CCAGACUCCUACGGGAGGCAGCAGUGGGGAAUAUUGCACAAUGGGCGAAAGCCUGAUGCAGCAACGCCGCGUGAGCGAUGAAGGCCUUCGGGUCGUAAAGCUCUGUCCUCAAGGAAGAUAAUGACGGUACUUGAGGAGGAAGCCCCGGCUAACUACGUGCCAGCAGCCGCGGUAAUACGUAGGGGGCUAGCGUUAUCCGGAAUUAUUGGGGGUAAAGGGGGCGUAGGUGGUUACUUAAGUCAGAGGUGAAAGGCUCGGGCUCAACCGUGGUAAGCCUUUGAAACUGGGAAACUUGAGUGCAGGAGAGGAGAGUGGAAUUCCUAGUGGAGCGGUGGAAUGCGUAGAUAUUAGGAGGAACACCAGUUGCGAAGGCGGCUCUCUGGGCUGUAACUGGCGUUGAGGCCCGAAGGCGUGGGG